CUCCUUCUCUCUCUCUUCCUCAGGGGAAGGCAGAUCUUAGCCCGUCCCUGCCUCGGGAGGGCAGAUUACCUGGCGCUUAAAGCGGCAGCCGAGCGGCCGCUCAGCCCCGGGGUUUCCCCGCGCUGCGGCUCGGCACCCCCGACUCAGCCCCUCCAGCCCCCACCUGCGAGGAGCGCUCGGGGGUGUAUUUGUCGUUCUGCGCGUUCGCAGCCGGCCACGGUCCCUAGCAAGCCUCCCCGCAGCAGCACGGUGCCUCCAUUCCGGGAGGGGGACGGUGGGAGGGUGGUCGGGGCCGCCCCUCACCGGGCGGGCGCCGCAGCGCCCCGCGGCACCUGCUGGCUGCGGCAGCGCCGGCCCCGCUGUGAGCGCACGGCGGGUCCCAACUUAAUGAUGGGCAGGGAGCCGUCGGGAACGGCAAAUCCAGCGGGCGGGGGGCGGCGGGGCCUCGGCUCCUCGCUCUCCCGGCCCCCGGGGCGGGGAAGGCCGGCGGGCUGCGCUCCUCGUCCCCGCACAGCCCUCGCUCGCCGAUCUCCAGGUCCUACUGGGCCAGCGGAGAAAAGCCCCGCUCUCCUGCCCACCGCAGCUCCCCUCUCCCGGGGCUCAGCAUGCAGCGGCCCCGGCCGCCCGUGGAAGCGGCGCUCUCCUUCGGCCGCAGCUCUCUCGGUCCGGAGGCGAGGGGGAGCAAAUCCAGCCCUUCCUGCAAAGCGGAGUGUGUGGAACGAGCCUCAGGCGGCUGCAGGCUGCGGCAGGCAGCGGGGCUUGUUGCGAUGCAGGUCUCCGGGAAGAGGCGGCGGGUGCGCGGCUCCCGCUCCGGCUGUUUGUUAUUUCCCUUUGCGAUCGCAGAGUGCAGCGCUGCGGUCCCGCUCCGGCGCUCGGCUUCACCGCAUGGUCCUUGCCGCAAGUCCCGUCUGGCAAAGUGCAACCACAACCUCUGAGGCAGCUGAGGACCCGAGAAGAGCAUUCCCUCUUGCCAUCCUGCCAUGAGAUAGGAAGCGGCUCUUGCCAUCGUUCCCAAAGCUCACCACUGCAUCUCUGCCAUGGUGCCAAAGAGAUACAGGGAUGCUUUCCAAGCCAGUAGUUUUAUGGCUAGAUAUUACCUUUGGCAUGUGAUUUUUGGAGGUUUGGUUUGGUUUUUCUCAUUGAGUGGAGUAUUUAAACAGGCCACCAAAAGAACAUGGGAAAAUAAUGUAAAGCACAUCCAAAUUCUGAGAAUUAUUUCAUAACAACAUGUAAAGUAUUGGAAUAGUUGAGGCUUCCAGUAUUUAGCUAAACACCACUCAGCCUUAAGUUUAUCUGAAACACACUAGCAACCUCUUUCAGAAAAAAACCAUUCUCCCACCUUUUGCCCCAAAGAAAAGAAGUAUGU
rnacentral:lncRNA from 1 species